rnacentral:tRNA from 1 species
UGGCUCAGAUGGUAAAGCAUCUGCCUGCAAUGCAGGAGACCCAGGUUUCAUCCCUGG